rnacentral:rRNA from 1 species
GCUUGCUUGUUGGGGUUGUAGGACACUCUAUACGGAGUUACAAAGGACGACAUUAGACGAAUCAUCUGGAAAGAUGAAUCAAAGAAGGUAAUAAUCCUGUAGUCGAAAAUGUUGUCUCUCUUGAGUGGAUCCUGAGUACGACGGAGCACGUGAAAUUCCGUCGGAAUCUGGGAGGACCAUCUCCUAAGGCUAAAUACUCUCUAGUGACCGAUAGUGAACCAGUACCGUGAGGGAAAGGUGAAAAGCACCCCGGAAGGGGAGUGAAAUAGAACCUGAAACCGUGUGCUUACAAGUAGUCAGAGCCCGUUAAUGGGUGAUGGCGUGCCUUUUGUAGAAUGAACCGGCGAGUUACGAUUUGAUGCAAGGUUAAGCAGUAAAUGUGGAGCCGUAGCGAAAGCGAGUCUGAAUAGGGCGUUUAGUAUUUGGUCGUAGACCCGAAACCAGGUGAUCUACCCUUGGUCAGGUUGAAGUUCAGGUAACACUGAAUGGAGGACCGAACCGACUUACGUUGAAAAGUGAGCGGAUGAACUGAGGGUAGCGGAGAAAUUCCAAUCGAACCUGGAGAUAGCUGGUUCUCUCCGAAAUAGCUUUAGGGCUAGCCUCAAGUGAUGAUUAUUGGAGGUAGAGCACUGUUUGGACGAGGGGCCCCUCUCGGGUUACCGAAUUCAGACAAACUCCGAAUGCCAAUUAAUUUAACUUGGGAGUCAGAACAUGGGUGAUAAGGUCCGUGUUCGAAAGGGAAACAGCCCAGACCACCAGCUAAGGUCCCAAAAUAUAUGUUAAGUGGAAAAGGAUGUGGCGUUGCCCAGACAACUAGGAUGUUGGCUUAGAAGCAGCCAUCAUUUAAAGAGUGCGUAAUAGCUCACUAGUCGAGUGACACUGCGCCGAAAAUGUACCGGGGCUAAACAUAUUACCGAAGCUGUGGAUUGUCCUUUGGACAAUGGUAGGAGAGCGUUCUAAGGGCGUUGAAGCAUGAUCGUAAGGACAUGUGGAGCGCUUAGAAGUGAGAAUGCCGGUGUGAGUAGCGAAAGACGGGUGAGAAUCCCGUCCACCGAUUGACUAAGGUUUCCAGAGGAAGGCUCGUCCGCUCUGGGUUAGUCGGGUCCUAAGCUGAGGCCGACAGGCGUAGGCGAUGGAUAACAGGUUGAUAUUCCUGUACCACCUAUAAUCGUUUUAAUCGAUGGGGGGACGCAGUAGGAUAGGCGAAGCGUGCGA